GUCGUAGUUGUCGAAUGCUGGGAGUCGGAGCAUCAUUUUGGCCGUUUGGACCUCCAGCACGGGUGCCGGAAUGCAGAGGCCUAGCGGAGGUUCAGAGCAGCUGGGCACCGGUGUGACGUCUGCUUUGCCAUUCACUGGAAGAUGGGGCGAGGCUGUGGACACGGAUCCAGCAAGGUGUGGAUUCUGUGCCAGUGGUGUUGGACCUGGCCCUUGAGUAAUGGAUAGUCCUUCCUCAGGCUGUUGGAAGAGGUCCGGAUCAUGUGUUGGUCCAUGUGAGCUGGCCAAUGGAUAACGUGAGCUGGUGUUUACUGAGGACCAGAGUGGGUGCUGGUGCUGGAGCGUGAUGGGAAGGUCCGCAGAAGUCCUGCUCUUGAGGGGGAAAAGUUGAGAAUGAGUGAGCAGCUGAAGAGGCCUGACUGUGGAGCCCUGCUGUGUCCUCAUGAUGGCAAUGGCACCAUCUGAUCCCAGUGAUCCCUGAGCCCCACAGGCACUGCCCAAGAGGCCCAACUCGCUCGGGAUGUGAGGGGUGCCAUGACCGGAUUGCCAGGGUGGCGUUUCCUCCCCUUCCCCUGGUGGCUCUCGGGACUCCUGCAGGUGUUUGU